GGUUAUGAUCAUACCAGCACUAAUGCACCGGAUCCCAUCAGAACUCCACAGUUAAGCGUGAUUGGGCGAGAGUAGUACUAGGAUGGGUGACCCCCUAGGAAGUCCUCGUGUUGCAACCCC
rnacentral:rRNA from 1 species